rnacentral:rRNA from 1 species
CGCGUAGGCGGUCAGGCAAGUCGGAUGUGAAAUCCCUCGGCUCAACCGAGGAACUGCAUCCGAAACUGCCCGACUUGAGUCCCGGAGAGGGUAGCGGAAUUCCCAGUGUAGCGGUGAAAUGCGUAGAUACUGGGAGGAACACCAGUGGCGAAGGCGGCUACCUGGACGGUGACUGACGCUGAGGCGCGAAAGCGUGGGGAGCAAACAGGAUUAGAUACCCUGGUAGUCC